rnacentral:rRNA from 3 species
AAAUUGAAGAGUUUGAUCAUGGCUCAGAUUGAACGCUGGCGGCAGGCCUAACACAUGCAAGUCGAACGGUAACAGGAAGCAGCUUGCUGCUUUGCUGACGAGUGGCGGACGGGUGAGUAAUGUCUGGGAAACUGCCUGAUGGAGGGGGAUAACUACUGGAAACGGUGGCUAAUACCGCAUAAUGUCGCAAGACCAAAGAGGGGGACCUUCGGGCCUCUUGCCAUCAGAUGUG